CAGGAGGCUUUCUGGGCUCUGAGGAAGACUCAGAGAAACGGCUCCUUUGUUCUCCAGCCCUGCCCAGCCCAGAGCCUUCCAGAAGGGAAAACUCAGUGAGGAGGCUGCAGACUGCCGAGGGCGUGUUGAGGAAAUUCCAUUCAAGACCCUCAUUUCCGAAAGUGCUCUGUGAUUAGCCCGGCUUUGUGCCAGCCCCAGUCCAGAGGCAGAGAGGCCAGCCCUUAGGUCACCAAAAGCAUCAGGAAAAUACAAAUGCGGGCCCCUUUACAGCCCGGCACAGGAGGUUAAAGGAUUUGCUUUGUAGUUUGUUUAUCUCACAGACUGAAGCCAAUUAUCCCAAUUACUAAAAAAAUAAAAUAAAGUUUACUACAGAUUGUAUUUUUAAGUUCAUUUAAUCUCCAAAACAGGCUGCUACACACAGUUUUCCUUUGGUUCCAACAACUCACGCCCAGUCUCUGUGGCAGGGAAGACAGCCCCUAAGGGUCACAUGUCCAAGGGCCAGGGGAGGUCAGAGGUCACUUAAUGGUUCCCAAAUGCGCUAGCAAGUAGUCAUAGAUUUGAACUUUGCAUUGUUGCUGCGGACCCAGGGCCUUCUUGGGAGGGGAGAGCUGGGGGAGCUAUCUCUGCAGUUCAAAGGCGGGCGCUGUGGUUUCACUUGGCUUAAGGUUUCAGUCCUUGAAUCCUAAACACUAUCCCCACUGGCCUCCUGUGCAUGGGAGGUGGGGGGUUGGGACUUGGGAUGGACAUUCUGUGUAACCCCAAACUGCAAGCCCUGCAGCUUCACGGUGGCCUCGGAGCUGGGAGACCCUCAGGAUCAGCAUCAGAGGCUGAAAAUACUGGUGACUAUUUUCAGAAGCCCAUGAGUAUUGAUGCAGAAUGCAGAAGGCCCAGACCAGCCAAGAGCUCCUCACCUCCAAGCCCAGUCAGGACUCUGGGAUUCAGAAAUGCACCCCAAGUUCUAGCCUUAACCACCAGCAGAGUGGGUGUUUGCUAGACAGUGUGAGUUGAAAAGGAAGUCAAAGGUCCCAGAUGGUAUGGUCCCCUCAAAUAAGCAUCUCCACAUAUACCUGAAAAUCUACCAUAAGUAUGAUGUAUAUUUAUAUCUAUUGACAUGGAAAGAUGUGUUAAGAUACAGAAAGUGCAAAAUGCAAGCCACAGAUCUGCCAAGGCGGGCAGAUCACCAGAGUUCAGGAGUUCGAGACCAGCCUUGACCAACAUGGUGAAACCCCAUCUCUACUAAAAAUACAAAAAUUAACUGGGCAUCAUGGCAUCCACCUGUAAUCCCAGCUACUAGAGAGACUGAGGCAGGAGAAUUGCUUGAACCCGGGAGGUGGAGGUUGCAGUGAGCCAAAAUUUCACCAUUGCACUCCAGCCUGGGCAACAAGAAGGAAAC
rnacentral:lncRNA from 1 species